UACGAGGGGGGGCGAGCGUUUGUUCGGAAUUAUUGGGCGUAAAGAGCUCGUAGGCGGUGUGUCGCGUCGGCCGUGAAAACCUGCAGCUUAACUGUGGGCUUGCGGUCGAUACGGGCAUCACUGGAGUUCGGCAGGGGGAGACUGGAAUUCCUGGUGUAGCGGUGAAAUUCGUAGAUAUCGGGAGGAACACCAGUGGCGAAGGCGGCGACCUGGACGGACACUGACGCUGAGACGCGAAAGCGUGGGGAGCAAACAGGG
rnacentral:rRNA from 1 species